UACGUAGGGUGCGAGCGUUAAUCGGAAUACUGGGCGUAAAGCGUGCGCAGGCGGUUUUGUAAGCCAGAUGUGAAAGCCCCCGGGCUUAACCUGGGAAUGGCAUUUGGGACUGCAAGGCUAGAGUGCGGCAGAGGGAGACUGGAAUUCCUGGUGUAGCAGUGAAAUGCGUAGAUAUCAGGAGGAAUACCGAUGGCGAAGGCAGGUCUCUGGGCUGACACUGACGCUCAUGCACGAAAGCGUGGGGAGCAAACAGG
rnacentral:rRNA from 1 species